rnacentral:rRNA from 1 species
AUUGAACGCUGGCGGCAGGCCUAACACAUGCAAGUCGGACGGUAGCACAGAGGAGCUUGCUCCUCGGGUGACGAGUGGCGGACGGGUGAGUAAUGUCUGGGGAUCUGCCCGAUAGAGGGGGAUAACCACUGGAAACGGUGGCUAAUACCGCAUAACGUCGCAAGACCAAAGAGGGGGACCUUCGGGCCUCUCACUAUCGGAUGAACCCAGAUGGGAUUAGCUAGUAGGCGGGGUAACGGCCCACCUAGGCGACGAUCCCUAGCUGGUCUGAGGGGAUGACCAGCCACACUGGAAGGGAGACACGGUCCAGACUCCUACGGGAGGCGGCAGUGGGGAAUAUUGCACAAUGGGAGCAAGCCUGAUGCAGCCAUGCCGCGUGUAUGAAGAAGGCCUUCGGGUUGUAAAGUACCUUCAGCGGGGAGGAAGGCGAUGUGGUUAAUAACCGCAUUGAUUGACGUUACCCGCAGAAGAAGCACCGGCUAACUCCGUGCCAGCAGCCGCCGUAA